UCCUACGGGGGGCAGCAGUAGGGAAUAUUGGGCAAUGGGCGAAAGCCUGACCCAGCAACGCCGCGUGUGUGAUGAAGGCCUUCGGGUCGUAAAGCACUUUUCUGGGAGAUGAGAAAGGACAGUAUCCCAGGAAUAAGUCUCGGCUAACUACGUGCCAGCAGCCGCGGUAAAACGUAGGAGGCGAGCGUUAUCCGGAUUCACUGGGCGUAAAGCGCGUGCAGGUGGCGCGGUAAGUUGGGCGUGAAAUCUCCCGGCUCAACUGGGAGAGGUCGUCCAAUACUACCGUGCUUGAGAGCAGAAGAGGAAGAUGGAAUUCCCGGUGUAGUGGUGAAAUGCGUAGAUAUCGGGAGGAACACCAGUGGCGAAGGCGAUCUUCUGGUCUGUUUCUGACACUCAGACGCGACAGCUAGGGUAGUAAACGGGAUUAGAUACCCCGGUAGC
rnacentral:rRNA from 1 species